rnacentral:rRNA from 1 species
UACGAAGGUGGCAAGCGUUGUUCGGAUUUACUGGGCGUAAAGGGUGUGUAGGCGGUUUGGUAAGUCUUCUGUUAAAGCUUCGGGCCCAACCCGGAAAGCGCAGAGGGUACUGCCAGGCUAGAGGGCGGGAGAGGAGCGCGGAAUUCCCGGUGUAGCGGUGAAAUGCGUAGAGAUCGGGAGGAAGGCCGGUGGCGAAGGCGGCGCUCUGGAGCGUACCUGACGCUGAGACACGAAAGCGUGGGGAGCAAACAGG